rnacentral:rRNA from 1 species
UACAGAGGGUGCGAGCGUUGUCCGGAAUCACUGGGCGUAAAGGGCGCGUAGGUGGCGCGACAAGUCAGUGGUGAAAGUUCGACGCUCAACGUCGAAUCGGCCACUGAUACUGUUGGGCUUGAGCACUGUAGAGGCUAAUGGAAUUCCGGGUGUAGCGGUGGAAUGCGUAGAGAUCCGGAAGAACACCGGUGGCGAAGGCGGUUAGCUGGGCAGUUGCUGACACUGAGGCGCGACAGCGUGGGGAGCAACAGG